rnacentral:rRNA from 1 species
CUUCUUUCUUAUCGAACUUCGGUUCACCGAGAAAGAGGAGUGGCGGACGGGUGAGUAACACGUGGGUAACCUGCCCUUUAGCGGGGGAUAACACUUGGAAACAGGUGCUAAUACCGCAUAAUCUUUUUUCUCGCAUGAGAGAAAAGUGAAAGACGCUUUUGCGUCACUAGAGGAUGGACCCGCGCUGCAUUAGCCAGUUGGUGAGGUAAUGGCUCACCAAGGCCACGAUGCAUAGCCGACCUGAGAGGGUGAUCGGCCACACUGGGACUGAGACACGGCCCAGACUCCUACGGGAGGCAGCAGUAGGGAAUCUUCGGCAAUGGACGAAAGUCUGACCGAGCAACGCCGCGUGAGUGAAGAAGGUUUUCGGAUCGUAAAACUCUGUUGUUAGAGAAGAAUAAGGAUGAGAGUAGAAUGUUCAUCCCUUGACGGUAUCUAACCAGAAAGCCACGGCUAACUACGUGCCAGCAGCCGCGGUAAUACGUAGGUGGCAAGCGUUGUCCGGAUUUAUUGGGCGUAAAGCGAGCGCAGGCGGUUUAUUAAGUCUGAUGUGAAAGCCCCCGGCUUAACCGGGGAGGGUCAUUGGAAACUGGUAGACUUGAGUGCAGAAGAGGAGAGUGGAAUUCCAUGUGUAGCGGUGAGAUGCGUAGAUAUAUGGAGGAACACCAGUGGCGAAGGCGACUCUCUGGUCUGUAACUGACGCUGAGGCUCGAAAGCGUGGGGAGCGAACAGGA